GACGUAGGGUCCGAGCGUUGUCCGGAGUUACUGGGCGUAAAGGGCGCGUAGGCGGCUUUGUGCGUCACCCGUGAAAGCCCCCGGCUCAACCGGGGAGGGUCGGGUGAAACGGCGGAGCUGGAGGCAGCGAGAGGCUGGUGGAAUUCCCGGAGUAGUGGUGAAAUGCGUAGAGAUCGGGAGGAACACCGGUGGCGAAGGCGGCCAGCUGGCGCUGACCUGACGCUGAGGCGCGAAGGUGUGGGGGAGCGAACGGGGAU
rnacentral:rRNA from 1 species